rnacentral:rRNA from 1 species
GUGGGGAAUAUUGGACAAUGGGCGCAAGCCUGAUCCAGCCAUGCCGCGUGUGUGAAGAAGGCCUUUUGGUUGUAAAGCACUUUAAGCGAGGAGGAGGCUACUGAGAUUAAUACUCUUGGAUAGUGGACGUUACUCGCAGAAUAAGCACCGGCUAACUCUGUGCCAGCAGCCGCGGUAAUACAGAGGGUGCGAGCGUUAAUCGGAUUUACUGGGCGUAAAGCGUGCGUAGGCGGCUUUUUAAGUCGGAUGUGAAAUCCCUGAGCUUAACUUAGGAAUUGCAUUCGAUACUGGGAAGCUAGAGUAUGGGAGAGGAUGGUAGAAUUCCAGGUGUAGCGGUGAAAUGCGUAGAGAUCUGGAGGAAUACCGAUGGCGAAGGCAGCCAUCUGGCCUAAUACUGACGCUGAGGUACGAAAGCAUGGGGAGCAA